GUGUGUGUGACCCUAGCGGGUGACGCUUCGCCGCGGCUCGCGACUCCCAACCGUGCCUUGCCCCUGCAUCUUCUCUCCCAGAAGUGGGAGCACUCUCUUCAAAUCCGUUUCCAGGCCUGCGGGUUGGAAGGCGUGCGCUUGUCCGCCUUGGAGAAGCUGCGGUGUGUCCAGUCUCCUCUCAGAAGCCCUGUCUGAUGAGCUGGGGACGGGGCACCAACGCUUGGAACCUGAGGCGUCGGGGCCUUCGGCGGGGCUGGCCUUAAGUCUUCCCCCUUAGCACGCUUUCCAUUUCUGCUGGGGACCGAGCGAUCCAUGCGGCUUAUAGGAGAGGGGUCACCAGCACUUUGCACGGAGCCCGACGGCCACUCACGAUUCAGCACGUGUUAGCCGCCCUUAUCUUUCCGAGAUGCAGGCGAACAGAAGCACAGGUUGAACGGAACGUUUUUGGAUGCGUUGUCUUUUCUGGACUCUUCCUGGACACCUGCCCUGCAGGAGGAGCACAGGUAACUUGUGGAGGGGGAGAGGAGUGAGGUAGAGAACUGAGGCUGUCUCCGUGACUGCGAGGAAGGGCUGUGUGCACAUCAUGGCUAUCCACCUGCGAUCCUAUGAGCCCAGGGACUAACAUUCAAAAUGAAGGAAAGGAGAAGUUAAAACAACGCUUAUACAAAGGGAGUUGUGCUAAAUUCAUAUUUUGAUUAUGAAAUGGACAAAAGGGCUUGUGUCUUUUUUUAAGAUUAUUUAUUUGAAAGGCAGAGUUACAGAAAGAGAGAGAUGUCUUUCAUCUACUGGCUCACUUCCCAAAUGGCUGCAAAGGCCAGUGUAGUCCAAGCCAAGGUCAGGAGCUGGGAGCUUCCUCCAGGUCUCCCACAUGGGUGCAGGGGCCCACACUGCUUUCCCAGGCACAUUAACAUGGGAGCUGCAUUGCAAGUGGAACAGCCAGUUCUUAAACUGGCAUCCAUAUAGGAUGCUGGGGUCUUAGAUGGCAGCUUUGCCUGCUAUGCCACAAUGCCGGCCCCAAGGCUUGUGGUUUGUUGUGGUUUUUUGGUUGUUUUUGUUGUGUUGUUUUUCUAUAUGGUUUUCCCAAGUGGCGGGGGAGGGGGGAAUCACCCUGAAAGCAAUCCUGUUUGUGGAGCAUUUGCUUAUUCUUUUGUUCUUUUAUUAUGUACUUAUGUUACACCAGGUUGACUUUUUUUUUUUUUUUAGAUUUUAUUUAUUUUUUAUUUAAGAGGUAGAGUUACAGACAGAGAGAAAGGUCUUCCAACCACUUCCCCAAAUGGCCACAUGGGUGUAGGAGCCCAAGCACCCAGGCCAUCCUCCACUGCUUUCCCAGGCACAUUAGCAGGGAGCUGGAUCGGAAGUGGGGCAGCCAGGUCUCAAACUGGAGCUCAUAUGCGAUGCUGGCAUCCUAGACGGAGGCUCAACAAGCUGUGCUGCAACGCUGGCCCCCCAAAAGCACUUUUGAGUCUCUGUGGGAAGAGAGAGAGGGAGGGAGGGAGUUGGAAGAAUUGGUGGAGCAAGAAGCAGCAUGUCUGCAGACCAGCUGUGGUGUGUUGAGUUUAGGGUGAACAUGGAAAUUUUUAAGUAGUGAACUGAAGAAGUUGGCAGGGGCCACACCUGGGUGUGCCCUGUGGAAAAAGAAGGCCCUGAAGGAUCCUGAGCAGAGGAGGCCAGGAUCAGAUCUGCAUUUCUUAGGCGUCAGUGACUCCGGUGAGAAGAGCCAGAGAACAAAAGAGGAGGCAAGAUUGCGUUAAUCCAGCUGGGGAAUGAAGGGCCUUCCGGGAGAAGGGGGUGCAGAUGUGAGAGGUACAGAUGGAGAAUCUUCAGAGUUUAAGAUGAUUGAACAUAGACUGGGGCAACCUGGUAGAAUGUACAUUUAAGGGGCAGAAGGGAAAACUGUAUGGAAAAGAAAAAUGAAGCCAAAAAAAAAAAAAAAUCAAAGGAAAGCCAGAGUGAAUCAGUAGGGUUGGAUCCCUCACCCUCGGUGGCAGGCAGAACCCUGGUUUUGUUCUGCAUUCUAUGUUUCCUUCCAGUGAUUCUGUGGUAUUAAUUAAUCCAAGCCAGUCUUGGUUGUCACAAUUCCCUUACCAGGGACUAGUUUAGACAGGGCCAUAUGGUGUAGCUCAGGCCAGGGAGAUGUGAGGGAAGACUUCUGGGGAAGGUCCCCUCACUGGUUAAAAAUAAAGAGACAUGGGGAGAUGUCGCUCCCCCUCUUCAUGGAGGAAUGACACUAAACCCUGCCUAGGCUUCAUAUCCAAGUCACGGCACCAUUAUGUCACUCCCCGUCUUCGUGGAGGAACGACACAGGACCCUGCGCUGUUCUUUUGUCUGCUCGGCCCUCCCCGGGUUUGCUGCUGGUUCUUCCCGGGUUGGCUACUGUCCCUUCCACCUCCGUGGAAGGGCGGUUCCCCCUGCCACUUUCCCCACUUCCGCGGGGGAGCGGCACACCGCCGGCCGGCUCUCUCGGGGGCUGCACAGGUGUUCCCCUUAGAUGUUCCUCUUAGAUGUUCCUGGUGCAUGCCGUCUCUCUCCUCCUUUAUAGUCUUCUUCCACCAAUCCCAACUCUGCUACCCACACGCCAAGUACGCUGCUCUCCUCCAAUCAGGAGCAGGUCCUACAGUUUAUUGGUUGAACUGGAGGCAGCUGUGUAGAAGCUGUUUCCUCCUCUCCCAGCGCCAUAUUGUGGGAGAGCAGAUGCAUAGAAUAAGUCUUAAUUCCAGUAACUUAGUCUAGUCCGAGUUGCUCCCAGUUGCUCCCCACAGGGAGACACACGCUCUUCUCAGCUGCUGGUGUCAUACUGGGGUAUGGCACCUGGAAAUGGUGUUUUUAGGGUUCUCCAGAGAAAUAGGAACAACAGUAGAUGGAUGUAGAUAAACGGAGGUGGAGGACGCGUGUCCGUGUGUGACGGGAGAUCUGUAGGAACUGACUCACACGAUUGUAGAGGCUUCCAAGCUCCAUGAUCUGCUGGCUACAAGUGGGAGAACCUAGAAAGCGGGUGGCUGUUUCAGUCCUGAGAAUCAGGCUCCCAUGGAAUGAGUGCUGGGCUGUCUGCAAGCCCGAGCCCAGGGGCGGAGAAGAUGGUGUCUGAGCUCAAGCAGAGAAUCUGAGUUUUCCCUGACUCUGUCCUAUUUUCCAUUCAAGGCCCAAAACAAUUGACUGAUGCUCACCCUCACUGGGGAGGGUCACCUGCCAUCCUUAGUUCAUCACUCAGAUGCCGGUCCCUUCCAGAAACACCCUAGAGACAAGCCCAGGAGUAACGCAAAGAUCUUGCUAUUGAAUGGGUUAAUACAGGACACACAGGCUGGCCUCGUGGCACAGGGGGUUAAGCUGCUACUUGUGAUGCCCACAUCCCAUCCCAGAGCCCCAGUUUCAGUCCUGUCUGCUCUGCUUCCAAUGCAGCUGCCCGCCAAUGCACCCGGGAAGGCAGCAGAAGAUGGCUCAAGUGUUGGACUGCUACCACCCACAUGGAGACCUGGCUGGAGUUCUGGGCACCUGGCCUUGGCCUGGACCAUCCUGGGGAGUGAAUCAGUGGAUGAAAGGUCUCUUUCUCUCUAUUUCUUCCACUCUCUGUCACUUUGCCUGUCAAGGAAAUAAAUAAGUGAAUCUUUUAGAAAAUAAAAAGGACACACAAAAAUCAAAGAAAAAAGACUGGGCAUCGUGGCACAGUGGGUUGAGUCACACUGCUUGGGACACCUGCAUCCCAUGUGGGAGUCCUGGCUACUUUGCUUCUGAUCCAGCUUCCUGCUGAGAUGCCUGGAAGUAGCAGGACUUUAUGACUCAAGUGCGUGGGUCUGUGGCACCCACGUGAAGGUCUGGGUAGAGUUCCAGGAUCCUGGCUUUGGCCUGGCCCAGUCCUGGCUGUUGCAGUUAUUUGAUAAGUGGGCAAGCAGAUGGAAGUUAUCUGACUCUCUCUGUCUCUCUCUGUCUCUCCCUCUAUGUCACUCUUUCAAAUAAAUCAAUCACAUAUAUUAUGUCAAAGUUGCUCAUAAAAUUUUAUUUUUAAUGUAUGUUUUUAUUUAUUUUCAACUGCUUGAAAGGCAGAAAGACAGAGACAGAGAGCAUGAGAUUUUCCAACUUUGGUUCAUUCUCCCAAGUGGCUGCAACAGUGAGGGCUGGACCAGGCCAAAGCCAGGCGCCAGGAACUCCAUCGGGGUCUCCCAUGUGUGUUACAAGAGCCCAAGCACUUGUGCUAUCAUCUGCUCUCUCCCAGAAUGUAUUAGCAGGAAGCUAGACCAGAAGCAAAGUAGCUGGGACUGCAACCAGCACUCCAGUAUGGGCUGUGAGUAUCCCAAGCAAUGGCUGAAGAUAUUAUAACAUGGCAGGCAUUUAGCCUGGCGGUUAAGAUGCCUGGACAUCAUCUCACCCCUGCAUCUGGCUCCUGACUCCAGCUUCCUGGCAGUGUAGACCCUGGGAGGCAGUGGUGAUGGCUCAAAUAAUUAAGUUCCUGCCACUUACAUGGGAGACCUGGGUUGAGUUACCAGCUCCUGGCCUCAGCCUGGCACAGCAGUGAAUGAGAGCUAUCUCUCCCUCUCUAUCCUCUGCCUUUCAAAUAAGAAAAUUUAAAAAUGCUAUUACAACUGUAUUUCAGUAUAACUGGUUUCUGUGGUAAUUCUACAUAUAUUUUAUUCAUUCAAAUAACAUUGUCCACUAAGCAGAAAGAAACAUCCAUGUUUUGAAAAGGUUAAGAACCCUGCUCUAAAGGCGGUGAGAAAAAGGGAGAUUUGUACAGUGGAGAUGGGAUCUAAGCAUCUGGGGAACUUGGCUUUGUUGAAGAUAGGAGAGGUUGGGGCCGGCGCUGUGGUGUAGCAGGUAAAGCCUCUGCCUGCAGAACUGGCAUCCCAUGUGGACUCCGGUUCGAGUCCCGGCUGCUCCAUGCCUGACCCAGCUCUCUGCUAUGGCCUGGGAAACAGUAGAUGAUGCCCCAAGUCCUUGGGCCCCUGCACCCGUAUGGGAGACCCGGAAGAAGCUCCUGGCUCCUGGCUUUGGAUUGGUGCAGGUCCAGCUGUUGCAGCCAACUGAGGAGUGAACCAGGGGAUGGAAGACCUCUCUCUCUCACUCUCACUCUUCGCCUCUCUGUGACUCUGCCUUUCAAAUAAAAAUAAAUAAAUAAAAAAGAUAGGAGGGGCUUCCAUGUUCAGAUACUGAAGAGGCAGAGAGGAGAUUUUGGGAGCCAAGGUCCCUGAGGAGGCUGCAGCUACUGGGAUGCAGGGCUCAGGUGGAGGGAUUAACGACAGGAAGGAAACUUUCCCUACAAUCAAAGGGAGGAAAGGAUGAGUGUGGAUAAAAAUAAGUGUCUCAGGGGGGUGGGAGUAGGGGGCAGGAAGUUGAGGGGGCUUCUGCCUGAUGGCUUCUAUUUUCACCAGUCAAGUAGGAGUGAAGUUAUCUACUGAGAGUGGGGAUGAGAGGGGAGGGGGAGAAAGGAGGGCGGCCGUGGACAGCCCAGAGGAUCCCCAGCCCCAGCCCUGGGGUGGGUGGGGGCAGUUAUAGGCGGCUUGGUUGUCAUGGUGACGACCCACCUGGAGGAGUACUGGCUUGCCCAGCACUCAGUGACCCCAGCCUAGGAGCAGGAGGAGGGCAGAAAGUCAGCUAGGUCCAGGGCCGGGAGGAUGGGGAAAGAUCAGGGACAUCCAUCAGGAUGUCCACAGGGAAGAGUGUGAGGCUGGUUAGGGCUGACUGCCUGGGAGGAGUGGGACAGAGACCCAGGAGCUGGAGGCGCGGGAAGUGGUGGUGCCAGAAUGAGCCAGUUGGGGCUGCUGGUGUUGUGGCGUAGUGGGCAAAGCAUCGCACCCCAGGUGGGCGCCAGGUCGUGUUCCCUGCUAAUGGCCUGAGAAAAGCAGUGGAUGUCAGCCUGCCUCAGCCCCGUUGUGGCCACUUGAGGAGUGAACCCGAGGAUUCAGAGGAAGACUCUCUGUGUGUCUCUCUGACUUUCAAAUAAAUCAAUAGAUACGAAUGAGCCAGUCAGGUUUAAGAUUGAGGAGUUGUCUGUGGAAUGGCCAGUGGCCGAGGUCAAGGAGAGGAUGCUGGAUGUGAGAAGGUCAAGGCAGAGCCGGGCUUGGAUGAGGGGAGGCGUGGUGUGAAGGAGGAGCAGUGACUUGGAAGUAGGUAGACCGUUGGGACAAGGAGUGGAGUGAUGGAGCUGCACUGGAUGUGCAUCCGUGGAGGGAGGUUUUCUCAACGAGGUGGAAUAGUGACGCUGUCAGUAGCAGCAAGGAGAUAAAGAAUGCUCACCCACCACGGCAGAAGAGCAGGCACCAGGCGCCUCCUCUGUGGCCUUUAUUACAGAGGCCAGAGGGCAUCACAGUGGUUUCCAACCCAGGAGUAAAGUCCCCUCCCACACUCCACCCCCACCAGGAGGCAUUUGCAAACCUGCAGAAGCCUUGUGGGUUUUAUCAGACUAGUAGGGGCGAUGGAGUAAACAGAUUGCUAAAGGCUACUUACCUUUUACCCAGUUGGCACUGAUGGAAAUUUGGGAAGUCAUCAAACUGAGGCACAGGUGGCAGAUCAGGAAAUGGUCAAGGGGUUUUACAAUGAGGGGAACUGGCAUUUGGUACCUAGAGAUCAGAAAUGCCGAGUGUCCUGUAGUGUACAGGAGUCCUGCCCCGACCUCCAGUAGUGCUUCUUGUAUGUUCUGUGCAUAAGACAGGGGUUCCAAGAACUGAGACGUGCGCUUACUGUUGGGAGCUCCCGUGGUCUUAAUAUGAAGGUCUCGCGCCUAUGUCUGAGGUCACCGUGGCAGGUCCAGUCCCUGCUCCCUCAUCACCUGCCAGUGCUUGGAACUUGGUUCUGCAGCCCUCAUGUGGCCGUGAGUUCAAAGUCACACAUUCGUGGUCGUGGUGCAGAAAGACUGCACGCUCCUGCUGACUUCCUAUGAGGAGGCCCCAGCCUGGACUGCCCACCUCUGGACUUAACAACCAAGAAGAACUGCCAUUUGUUUAAGCUGCUGUCAAUUUUAGAUCUCCGCAGCUUUUCACAUUGGAAAUGAGGAUACUGCAGGACACCCCGAGGAAAGGAGGGAGUGAGGCCGUUUGCUCUGGGAGGGUUGUGCAGAGGCGCCAGCCACAGAGCUCAGCAUCCCAGCCCAGCCCAGCACAGCCGUCUGCCUCCACGUCUCGUAUCACAGGUGAUGAAACCAAGGUUCUUUUCUUUUGCAAAGGUUUAUUUGCACCAUCUGCAUCGUCCAUCCGCGUGACAGUGUUGUCACACAUGGUCUGCGUUUUCUGUGUAUUGGGAAUGUUGUAUUUGCUUUUCCUCUCCUCCUUCAACGUAACCAUGACUUCUGUUAAUUCAUGAUGCUGUGUGUCGCUGCUGCCCCUCCCAGCGUGUGCGCGUCUGUGCCUCCAUGGACAUCUUAUAUGAUCAAACUGAAGAUGCCUUCUAAUACGGUAAAAUACUGUGUUUCUUACAUUCUGCUGUAAUGUUAUUGUAUUUACUAAAUUGACCUCAUUAAGUAUCAGAUAUUAAGUUAUUAUUCAUUUAUUUCUGUAGCAUUCAAGUCUUAAAUUUAAAUGUUGCCAUAUUUGGUCCAUUUUAACUCUGUUGAUGUUUAUUAUGCUGUAACUACAUCCUCCCAGCUGUGCCAGGCUAGCCUAUUGAGCUAAUGAAAACUAUUUAGGAGAUUGUUAUUAAAAAUUAACUUUUGAUGUGGUUUUAGUUUCCCACUUUCUAUCAUUCAGUUAACACCACAAAGUUCUAAGAACAGUUAUGCAAUUGUGUAGUCGAGAAUCUGAAGAUACAACCUUUUUUAGGACUUUUUUUGGGCGUUUUAAGUCCUUUUAGCGCUUUUUGCCUGUGCGUUUCCGUGGUUUGUUCUGGAGCCCUGGAAUCCCAGCCUGCCUGCACCUCUGACUCCAUCCCUCUCCAGUCUAAGACUCUGACGAGCGACCCUGGGGCUCAGCAGGACUCCGACAGUCCUUGGUGAAGGCUGUCAAGGUGGCUUUGUGACUGAUCCAAGGGAACAGUCAGAAGUGCCAUUGCUUGCUUCAACCCCACUUGUAAAUUAGUAAUAGAAGCCAGCAGUGAGUGAGUUUUCUGGAAGGAUCAAGACCAAACAGGUUGAAGCAUUGCUCCCUGCCUGACUCACCUUGGGCUCAGAAAGCUGAUAAACCAAGGAACCCUGGAAAGAAGCCCACGCACACGUCUCUGCUUCCCUCUGCCGUGGUUCCUCCAUGGCUCAGGAGCAACACAUGGCAUGGAUGUUUUUCUGCUCAUCACAUGUUGAAGCAAAAUGUUCCUGCGUGUUGGAAUCGGUGAUUCUAAUCUUAUCUCCUUGAUCGGAGUUGACACCUGUGUGACAUGGCCCCUCCUCCAGAGCCUGUCUGGAAGCAUUUGAGAAUAUGGAAAACAAGAUUUGAGACUGUGGUAGCCUUUGCUUCAUUAAGGCACAGAUUUGCUUUGUUUUAAAAAUUUAUUUAUUUGCCGGCGCCGUGGCUUACUAGGCUAAUCCUCCACCUUGUGGCGCCGGCACACCAGGUUCUAGUCCCGGUCGGGGCGCCGGAUUCUGUCCCGGUUGCCCCUCUUCCAGGCCAGCUCUCUGCUGUGGCCAGGGAGUGCAGUGGAGGAUGGCCCAGGUGCUUGGGCCCUGCACCCCAUGGGAGACCAGGAAAAGCACCUGGCUCCUGGCUCCUGCCAUCGGAUCAGCGCGGUGCGCUGGCCGCAGCGCGCCGGCCACGGUGGCCAUUGGAGGGUGAACCAACGGCAAAGGAAGACCUUUGUCUCUCUCUCUCACUGUCCACUCUGCCUGUCAAAAAAAAAAAAUUUAUUUAUUUGAGGGGCUGGCUCUGUGACGUGGCAGGCAAGGCUGCCGCCUGCAGUACCAGCAUCCGGGGAGUGAACCAGCAGACGGAAGACCUCGCUCUCUCUCUCUCUCUUUCUCCCUCUCUUGGCCUCGGCCUCUCUAUAACUCUGCCUUUCAAAUAAAUAAAUAUUUUUAAAAAUUUUAUUUAUUUGAAAGGUAGAACAACAGAGAUUUUCUGUAUACUAUAUCACUACCAAAUGCUGAAAACAAUCAGGGCUGGACCAGGCUGAAGCCAGGAGCCAGGGACUCCAUCUGUGUCUCCCGCAUGAGGGGCAGGGACUCAGCUACUUGACCCUCACCAUUGCAUCCCAGGAUGCACGUUAGCAGGAAGCUAGAUCAGAAGCGGGGCCACUGGGGCUUGAGCCAGGCAGUCCAGUGUGGGAUGUGGAUGUCCUGACAGGUGGCUUCACCACUGUGCAACAACCCCACCAAAUUUUUUUAGUGGAAGAAAGAAAGCUUUUUUUUUUUUAAGGUUUAUUUAUUUACUUGAGAGACAGAAUUAGAGAGAGAGAGACAAGGAGAGACAAAGGGAGAGAGGUCUUCCAUCUGCUGGUUCACUCCCCAAAUGGCUGCAACAGCUAGAGCUGAGCCAAUCCAAAGCCAGGAGCCAGGAGCUUCUUCCAGGUCUCCCAGAUGGGUGCAGGGCCCAAGGACUUGGGCCAUCUUCUGCUGCUUUCCCAGGCCAUAGCAGAGAACUGGAUCACAAGUGGAACAGCCAGGUUUCCAACUGGCAUUCUUAUGGGAUGCCAGCACUGCAGGCGGCGGCUUUACCCCCUAAGCCACAGCACUGGCCCCAUUUUAGUCAUUUUUAAGUGUACAGUUCCGUGGCAUUAAGUACAUUCAGAUUAUAUAAUCAUUGAGACAUCUUAACAUAAAAUUUAUGAUCUUUCUGAAAAAUAUAUAUAUGCAAAUCUGAUGAAGAAUUGAAAGUAGAGUGGAGAAACUUAAAAUUUUACCUGUAUUUAUAUGUCAGAAUAGACUCUAAGCACUGAGCUAUAUAUUAAAAUGACUUACCAGGGCCGGCGCUGUGGUAUAGCAGGUAAAGCUGCUGCCUGCAGUGUCGGCAUCCCAUAUGGGCACCGGUUUGAGUCCUGGCUGUUCCACUUCCAAUCCAGCUUUCUGCUAUGGCCUGGGAAAGCAGUGGAAAAUGGCCCAAGUCCUUGGGUGCCCAUGGGGGAAGAAGCUCCUGGAUCCUGGCUUCAGAUUGGUGCAGCUCCAACUGUUGCGGUCAUCUGAGGAGUGAACCAGCGGAUGGAAGACCUCUCUCUGUUUCUACCUCUCUCUGUAACUCUGUCUUUCAAAUAAAUAAAAUAAAUCUUUAAAAAAUCUUAAAUAAAUCUUAAAUAUUUAAUUCAAAUUUCCAUGAACUUUUUUAAAAAAAGAUUUAUUUGGAAAGCAGAGUUACAGAGAGGCAGAGAGAGAGAGAGAAGAGAGGUCUUCCAUCUGCAGGUUCAUUCCCCAUAAGGCCAAAAUGGCCAGAGCUGGGCCAGUCUGAAGCCAGGAGCCAGGAGCUCCUUUGGGUCUCCCAUGCGGGUGCAGGGGCCCAAGGACUUGGUCCAUCUUCUACUGCUUUCCCAGGCCACAGGCAGAGAGCUGGAUCAGACAUGCUGCAGGCGGUGGCUUCACCCUCUCCGCCACAGCGCCAGCCCCAUCCAUGUACUUUUUUUUUUUUUUUUGACAAGCAGAGUUAGACAGUGAGAGAGAGAGACAGAAAGAAAGGUCUUCCUUUUGCUGUUGGUUCACCCCCCAAAUGGCUGCCAUGGCCGCCGCGCUGCUCCGAUCCGAAGCCAGGAGCCAGGUGCUUCCUCCUGGUCUCCCAUGCAGGUGCAGGGCCCAAGGACUUGGGCCACAGCAGAGAGCUGGACAGGGAGAGGAGUAACUGGGACAGAACUGGCACCCCAACUGGGACUAGAACCCAGGGUGCCAGCGCCGCAGGCGGAGGAUUAGCCUAGUGAGCCGCGGUGCCGGCCAUCCAUGAACUUUUUGAAGUGCCCUCCUGUAAUGUGAUUCUGCCCUUUGAAUCGGAAGAGAUUAAAUUUUACCAACUCCUGGGUGAUCGUUAGAAUUGGGUAAUGCAAAGGUCUGACACUGAGAAUCUGGCUACUCUUCAAUUUGGAAGAGGCGUUGGUGCCAAACAGCAAAGUGCCAGCGGUAAACUCCUUAUCUGCAGUGGGUGGCUGGGGUUGUUCCCUGAAGCAGAGUGUGCACAGGGAUGCUGUGUUCUUGUAGAAUGUAGCUGACUCUUCUACAGGCCCCACCCCUAAGCCCCUGAUCAGACACAGCCACACCCCUCCCAGUUUUCCUCUAGUACCUUGUCCAACCUCCAGGAGAGCCCUAAUCAUUCAGUAACGUGAUGCGUGAUGCGCUAUUGACAUUAACACAUCAACAACAGAGGGAGAAGUUCUUCAGCUGGUUGUAUCUUGCUCAUCUCUGUUGUCCUCAGCAGUUAGCCUAGUACCUGGGACUUACUGGCUUCUCAAUAAGUAUUUAUUGAGUGAAUAAAUGACACAACCAUGGCCCAGGGAGGAAGUGACCUGCCCGAGAUCACAAAUCUAGUCAGUAACAGUGAUCUGAGAGGCAAGGUAUGAUAACAUUUUAAUGACCCUGUGUUGCUGGAAAACAUAGUGUUGAGGUGGCUCUUGCAACAAAAAUUGGGUGGCAGGUUAUUCACAGAAUUUGAGAGUCACACGAUAAUUCAAAGUCAAGAGCAUCUGAAGAAUUUUGAUCUUUUGGUGCCUUUAGACUUU